GUAUGUAAUGUACUCUUUCUUCGGAACACCGGUGACAGGUGGUGCAUGGUUGUCGUCAGCUCGUGUCGUGAGAUGUUGGGUUAAGUCCCGCAACGAGCGCAACCCCUGUCCUUAGUAGCCAGCAGUUCGGCUGGGCACUCUAGGGAGACUGCCAGGGAUAACCUGGAGGAAGGCGGGGAUGACGUCAAAUCAUCAUGCCCCUUAUGACUUGGGCUACACACGUGCUACAAUGGCGUAAACAAAGGGAAGCGAAAAGGUGACUUCUAGCAAAUCCCAAAAAUAACGUCCCAGUUCGGACUGUAGUCUGCAACUCGACUACACGAAGCUGGAAUCGCUAGUAAUCGCGAAUCAGAAUGUCGCGGUGAAUACGUUCCCGGGUCUUGUAACACACCGA
rnacentral:rRNA from 1 species